rnacentral:rRNA from 1 species
AUGAUUAUACACGACCAAUACAGAACGACCUCUCCAGUAGUUGAAAACCAAGGUGAAAUGGAGGGAAGUAUCAAGUCGAAGAUAUUAUGGCUUUUGUACAUCUUCUAUUUUCUUCAAAUGGAAGUUGAUGUCGGUUUGGUGACCGAAGACUUGGGCUCUGCCAUAGUGUUUUGUAGAGUGAUCGAAUAUUUAGUCUCUUAUGAACUUGACCCAUAUUUUGUAGCAUGCCACAACUUGUAUGUUGACUUGAAUAUUUCUUUAAUGGUUGUAGCAAGGAAAACUAAUGAAUCUUCUAUAUAUGUUGAAUAA